UCUCCCAAUUUAGUACUUGCAUAGCAAGGAAACAUAAAAUGUUUGAGAUCCAUUCGCUUCUUUCGAGAAAACAUUUCGAAGACACUGAAACAGAGGAGAGAAGUUGUGAGGCCAUGGGUAGAGGGAAUGCAGCCAGGCCUGCUGAACAUAUCCAGCAUUUUCUGUUUUUGCUGGCAAAUAGUUGGUGCUUUAUGGAAUGAUACUGCAGAAACGAGAGCUGGAGAGACACUCGGAGCAUAAGGGAAAUUUAUCCAAGAAAAGAAAUUGGCAACCUCAUCCUUGCAAAUUUACAUUAACAAACACCUACAAAUUUCACUGCCAGCAAUCUGAAACAGAAGCAGCAAUUUACCAACCUAUAAGAUUCGGACUGGCCUUGAUUGAGAACCUGCAAUCCAACAGAUGAAACAUAAUUCCCGUUGAAAGUUGGACUGAGAUUGACUUUGACAUUUCUGUGAUCUCCACUCAACAGACAAUUGCACGAUAACACAGCCAAACAGAAAAAUGUUUAGACCAUCACAUUGCUGUGUGACUAAAAAGUCUCACACUCAUAAUUUAGCUGGUGUUCUAGAGGAAAUGAAGAGAUUGCUACCUUCAGUGAGAGCUAGAUGAUGGAAAAAUGUACAAUUAAUGCCUAACCCCAUGGACUAACUGGAGAACAGUCAAUAUUGUUUCAAUUUAUUUGUGAAAUAUUGAAAAGAAAUGUAUGGGAUUUUCUGGAUGAUAAUAUCAAUGGUUCUGCCAGAAUAGUUCAAAACAAUAAGGGCUUUUUACUUCCAUAAAUUGGUUUGCAGCCAUUAUUAGUUUUGCCAUUUUCAUCUGAGAGAUCGCUAUCCCUAUUUAACAUGUUUUUCUGGAGCAAUUUAAGUCUAAAAAUACUAAAGGAAAUUUGGCAGACUAAACUGAAUUGCUUUACAGUUGGUGCCAAUCUAGGCACAAGUCCACUCACACUCUCUAAUGCCUCAUUUAAUUUCAGUCUCUGGGCUCUGUUAAAAUUCUUCCCCAAAUCCAAUACAAAUGUCCUCAUUGUUCCAGAUUCCUUUCCUCUUACAGAGCAGACCUCAAAUAUCCUCACUUCUUUCCUGCUCUGUAACUAAGUCAACCCACUCACUCAUUCAUAUGUUAAACAUGCAUAAUGGGCCUUCACAUUAAUUAACUAAUUUCAGGCCUUUAUGGUGAUGCAGAGAGUUUUCAAUCUCCCCUGUGUCUUUCAGACCAAUUGAACUGGGUGAAUAGUCUGAAUAAUAGAAGGAAGAAAAAGUAAGCAGCCUCAGUGUUCUGCUCGGCUCUUGCUUUUAUGCUACUUGAGGGGGAAGGGCCAAAAUAUCAUCAGCAAUUCUAAUGCUUUGCAGCAGCGGAUGGGAACCAACUCUGAGGGCCUGCAGAUUAAUUUGUGUCAGAUGUUGUGCCUGACAAAAAUGGGGGAGAAAAGAGUUCACAUUUAAACAUACCAAUGCAGACUGAUGGUCAAGGACUUUCUUUCACUGAAGAAUAUUUCUUAAACACUAUCUAAACGCUAUCCUUUGAAUGGAAAAU